GAUGAACGCUGGCGGCGUGCCUAAUACAUGCAAGUCGAGCGAAUGGAUUAAGAGCUUGCUCUUAUGAAGUUAGCGGCGGACGGGUGAGUAACACGUGGGUAACCUGCCCAUAAGACUGGGAUAACUCCGGGAAACCGGGGCUAAUACCGGAUAACAUUUUGAACCGCAUGGUUCGAAAUUGAAAGGCGGCUUCGGCUGUCACUUAUGGAUGGACCCGCGUCGCAUUAGCUAGUUGGUGAGGUAACGGCUCACCAAGGCAACGAUGCGUAGCCGACCUGAGAGGGUGCUCGGCCACACUGGGACUGAGACACGGCCCAGACGCCUACGGGAGGCAGCAGUAGGGAAUCUUCCGCAAUGGACGAAAGUCUGACGGAGCAACGCCGCGUGAGUGAUGAAGGCUUUCGGGUCGUAAAACUCUGUUGUUAGGGAAGAACAAGUGCUAGUUGAAUAAGCUGACACCUUGACGGUACCUAACCAGAAAGCCACGGCUAACUACGUGCCAGCCGCCGCAGUAA
rnacentral:rRNA from 1 species